ACCCAUCUAGCUCAGUUGGUAAAGCGCAUGGCUCUUAGCCUUGUGGUCAUGGGUUCAAGCCCCACAGUGGGAU
rnacentral:tRNA from 1 species